rnacentral:rRNA from 1 species
UUAGCUGGCUAGCUCUUUGCAACUUUCACUUGGUCGCCCACUGAAGCUAAGCAGGGCUGCGCCCAGACAGUACCUGGAUGGGAGACCAGACGGGAAAGCUAGGUUGUUGCCAGAA